rnacentral:rRNA from 1 species
AACGAACGCUGGCGGCAUGCCUAACACAUGCAAGUCGAACGAUGGUCUUCGGAUCAUAGUGGCGCACGGGUGCGUAACGCGUGGGAAUCUGCCCUUGGGUUCGGAAUAACAGUUGGAAACGACUGCUAAUACCGGAUGAUGUCGAUAAGACCAAAGAUUUAUCGCCCGAGGAUGAGCCCGCGUCGGAUUAGCUAGUUGGUGGGGUAAAGGCCUACCAAGGCGACGAUCCGUAGCUGGUCUGAGAGGAUGAUCAGCCACACUGGGACUGAGACACGGCCCAGACUCCUACGGGAGGCAGCAGUGGGGAAUAUUGGACAAUGGGCGCAAGCCUGAUCCAGCAAUGCCGCGUGAGUGAUGAAGGCUUUAGGGUUGUAAAGCUCUUUUACCCGGGAAGAUAAUGACUGUACCGGGAGAAUAAGCCCCGGCUAACUCCGUG